rnacentral:rRNA from 1 species
UUCCUACGGGAGGCAGCAGUGGGGAAUUUUGGACAAUGGGGGCAAGCCUGAUCCAGCAAUGCCGCGUGCAGGAAGAAGGCCUUCGGGUUGUAAACCGCUUUUGUCCGGGAAGAAAUAGUUUGGGUUAAUACCUUGAGAUAAUGACGGACCGCAGAAUAGCACUCGGUUUCC